AAAAAAAAAAGCAAAACAGAAGUUGCCAUCUCGUCCUCUGCUCUAGCUGUCUCAUUUUACCUUCUGAAAUGAUGGAGGAAGUUCUGCUGAGGAUGGGGUCAGGGUAACAGCAGACUUCUGAAUAACCCUGCACCCCCAGAAACCUGCAAAGGACACAAGCCCUCUUGGUGGUCUCCUCCUGGAUGCCUUGCUUUCUCCUGGAAGAGCCCUCCCUUCCACUCCGGAUAUCACUGUGAACCUGAUUCCCCAGGAUCAACUAUCUGAGCAGAUACCUUAGAAUGUCCCCAGAUUUCAGAGAAUUCCAAAGAAGAUAGAAAUGGGGUUAGGAAGGGAAGUUCUGCCCUCCUGGUUCUUGUCAUCCUUCUAUACUUCAAGAUGAGAUUCCUGAAAUUCCUACAAUUAUCUUGUUAUCAACCUAAGGAUGAAUGUAACACCUACAAGAGGGUGGAACCGAGUAUUCUCCCCUGGAGCCUGAGAUAUCUCUGGACUUCCUAGCAUGUCAUACAAUAAUUUCUUAUUAUGUUAUAUCAUACUAAGUUGGGGGCUCUGUUACCUGCAUCAGAAAUCAUCCUCAUAGCCAUAGGUUGGUUCAUUUAAUCUUCACUGCUGUCCAUGUGCUAUCUAUCUCCUUUUUAUAGGUUAAAAAAUGCAUUUAUCUUAAUACAGCUAGUAAGCAGCAAAGCCCAAAUUCAAUCCAGUUCUGGUUUUAAAAAUCCCUAACAUAUGGUUGGGUGCAGUGGCUCACACCUGUAAUCCCAGCACUUUGGGAGGCUGAGGUGGGC